AUUUUAUCUCUGUAGAAAAGUAACAGCAGACUUAAAGCAGGCAGAAACGAAAGCAGAAAGAGAACUUAAGAACAUUACAUUAAUAAUUGCAGGCCCACCUUUGGGCUCUGAUUUUUCCUUUAUGUAAUUUGCAAUUUGUAAUUCAUGAUCCUUGUGCCUGAGGGCUCCCUUCUGCUACUCAGUCUACAAUUCCCCGUCCCUGUGAAGGGGCACCCAGGCCUGACAGCCCCAGACUUGGCUUUGCCAACCCUCCAGGUCUCUCCUGCAUGGCUAGGACCCAACGCCUAGGUCAUCCAGCACUCACCCCAACCAAAGCCAUGGGAAUUGCUGGGACCCGGAAGGUAGGGGGUGGCACAUGUGUGCCCUGUGCUCUGAAGCUGCCCCUACAGGCCCUGGAAUCCUCCCCGUGUCUCAACACACUACCCUCUGGGGAGUCAGUUCUCCCCAGAGUCCCCGUUCCUGGGCCUGGAGGGCUGCUUUGGGGCAGGAAACUUUGGCCACCAGGCCUCUGACCUGCACCAGGAGACACUGGGAGGUUUAGUCCCCAAACCCGCACAGAGCAGGACUGCAGCCUGAGGAAAGAGCAAGGAUUUCAGGAGAGAGGCCUGCGACAAGUGAGGUGAGGGCUUUUGGGGGAUUGUCCUGGCGCCUGGAGUGUGGGGGCCUGGCAGGGGCCCUGAACCGGGACAGUGAGGUCCUGUACUUGCUGGCCUGGGGUGGACAGAACCCAAGCCUGGGUAAAAUCCCCAGGGCCCCCUAAACCCAACACUUAGGAAGUCACUAGUCCUGACUUGAGUUUCUGAUGAGGAAGCCUCUCUCCUUAGCCUUCAGCCUUUCCUCCCACCCUGCCAUAAAGUAAUUUGAUCCUCAAGAAGUUAAACCACACCUCAUUGGUCCCUGGCUAAUUCACCAAUUUACAAACAGCAGGAAAUAGAAACUUAAGAGAAAUACACACUUCUGAGAAACUGAAACGACAGGGGAAAGGAGGUCUCACUGAGCACCGUCCCAGCAUCCGGACACCACAGCGGCCCUUCGCUCCACGCAGAAAACCACACUUCUCAAACCUUCACUCAACACUUCCUUCCCCAAAGCCAGAAGAUGCACAAGGAGGAACAUGAGGUGGCUGUGCUGGGGCCACCCCCCAGCACCAUCCUUCCAAGGUCCACCGUGAUCAACAUCCACAGCGAGACCUCCGUGCCCGACCAUGUCGUCUGGUCCCUGUUCAACACCCUCUUCUUGAACUGGUGCUGUCUGGGCUUCAUAGCAUUCGCCUACUCCGUGAAGACUGGCACCCAGGCUCUCCCAGAAAGUGAGAAGGGAACUCACAGGUGACUUCACCCCAUGGUGGGGAGAACAGCCUGUGCUGGGGCCAAGGCAGAAGGAGGAUGAGCCCCGAGGCUCCUGGAGAGUCUGAGCCCGGGUGAGGAAGGGGAGGAGGUGGUCCCUGAUCUCAGGGCGGGGAGGAGACGGAGCCAUAGCACGCGGCUCUCAGCUGGGGGAUCCUGGUCCCCUCACCAUCUCCUCUCCCCCAGUCUAGGGACAGGAAGAUGGUUGGCGACGUGACCGGGGCCCAGGCCUAUGCCUCCACCGCCAAGUGCCUGAACAUCUGGGCCCUGAUUCUGGGCAUCCUCAUGACCAUUGGAUUCAUCCUGUUACUGGUAUUCGGCUCUGUGACAGUCUACCAUAUUAUGUUACAGAUAAUACAGGAAAAACGGGGUUACUAGUAGCCGCCCAUAGCCUGCAACCUUUGCACUCCACUGUGCAAUGCUGGCCCUGCACGCUGGGGCUGUUGCCCCUGCCCCCUUGGUCCUGCCCCUAGAUACAGCAGUUUAUACCCACACACCUGUCUACAGUGUCAUUCAAUAAAGUGCACGUGCUUGUGA
rnacentral:lncRNA from 1 species